GAGUUUGAUCCUGGCUCAGGAUGAACGCUGGCGGCGUGUCUUAGGCAUGCAAGUCGAACGCUUGUGCUUCGCACAUAGAUGCGAAUAGAUACAAAUUAAAUAUACAAAUGAUUACAAAUGAUAAAGAAUUUAUUUGUAAAAAUUUGUAAAAAGAUUUGUAAUAAUUAGCAUUUACGUGCGGAGCACGAGAGUGGCAGACGGGUGAGUAACGCGUAGGUAGCUACCUCGGAGAGGUGAAUAGCCCCGCGAAAGCGGGGGUAAUACAGCAUAACCUCGUCCUUCGGACAGAUAUGCGAAUGGAUACAAAUAAGAAGUACAAAUGAAUACAAAUAAUAAAUUUGUAAUUAUUAGCAUAUGCGUCCAGAGGGCGAGAAAAGGGAGUAACUUCUCGCUCUGAGAGGCGCCUGCGUCCUAUCAGCUUGUUGGUGGGGUAAUGGCCUACCAAAGCAACGACGGGUAGCCGGUGUGAGAGCACGACCGGUCACAAUGUCACUGAAACACGGGGCAUACGUCUACGGACGGCAGCAACCGAGAAUCUUGCGCAAUGGGCGAAAGCCUGACGCAGCGACGCCGCGUGGAGGAUGAAGGCCUUCGGGUUGUAAACUCCUUUUUUCUAAUAAUAUUAUUGGGAGAAUAAGCACCGGCAAACUACGUGCCAGCAGCAGCGGUAAAACGUAGGGUGCAAGCGUUAUCCGGAUUUACUGGGCGUAAAGGGUAUCGUAGGCGGUUGGAAAAGUCAUUUGUUUAAGCCCCCGGCUCAACCGGGGAACAGCGGGUGAUACUUUCUAACUAGUGUACAAUCGAGGAUGCUGGAAUGUCUGAUGGAGGGGUGAAAUCCGUUGAGAUCAGAUGGAACACCGAGGGCGAAGGCAGGCAUCUAGGUUGUUACAGACGCUGAUGAACGAAAGCUAGGGGAGCAAAAGGGAUUAGAGACCCCUGUAGUCCUUGCUGUAAACGAUGUUCGCUAGUUCCUCGGUCCGAUAUUAAUCGGACUGGGGGACGUAAGCUAACGCGUUAAGCGAACCGCCUGGGGAGUACGGCCGCAAGGCUAAAACUCAAAGGAAUUGACGGGGAGGCGCACAACCAGUGGAGCAUGUGGUUUAAUUCGAUACGAAGCGUAGGACCUUACCUGGGUUUGACAUUCCGCUGCAGUCCCGAUGAAAGUUGGGAGGCUUUUGAAGGUGCGGAACAGCUACUGCAUGGUUGUCGUCAGCUCGUGUCGUGAGAUGUCUGCUUAAGUGCAGUAACGAGCGCAACCCUCGUCUCUUGUUGAAUUUCAAGAGAGACCGGUUCGAUUAAAUCGGACAGGAAGGAGAGGAUGACGUCAAAUCAGCAUGGUGCUUACAUCCAGGGCAACACACAUCCUACAAUGGUUAGCACAAUGGGUUGCAAAGUGGUAACGCGGAGCUAAUCCCUUAAAACUAACCUCAGUUCAGAUUGAGGGCUGAAACCCGCCCUCAUGAAGUCGGAAUUGGUAGUAAUCGCGGGUCAGCAGACCGCGGUGAAUACGUUCU
rnacentral:rRNA from 1 species